UACGAAGGGGGCUAGCGUUGCUCGGAAUUACUGGGCGUAAAGGGCGCGUAGGCGGAUCGUUAAGUCAGAGGUGAAAUCCCGGGGCUCAACCUCGGAACUGCCUUUGAUACUGGCUGUCUUGAGUAUGGGAGAGGUGUGUGGAACUCCGAGUGUAGAGGUGAAAUUCGUAGAUAUUCGGAAGAACACCAGUGGCGAAGGCGACACACUGGCCCAUUACUGACGCUGAGGCUCGAAAGCGUGGGGAGCAAACAGG
rnacentral:rRNA from 1 species